UCUCUCUCUCUCUCUCUCUCUCUCUCUCUCUCUCUCUCUCUCUCUCUCUCUCUGAUCUUGGAUCCCCGGCGACCAACAACUACCAUGGGUAGCAUAGCUAGCAGCACAUCGACAUCUUCCACCACCACUAGCACCACCAAGUUGUGACAGCUCCUGGUGCUCCGGCCUCUAGACGCGCAUCUCUCGUAGUUUCCCCCACCAGACUAGUGGAUUGUUAUCAACGUCGCUUUUGGUUGCAAUCCUUCCGAUUAAGGUUAGUUCAUGGAGCAUUGUAGUGAACUCUGCGGUGUUGUCGGGACCUUGUGAUUGGACCUCUAGGGCGUUUGCAUUUUUAUUUCUUUUAUCGUGUCAAAAUGCUUUCGAACGUUUAUUUAUUAGCUUCCGCACUUUUAUUUAUUGGCAAUUCUUGGGGAAUUUGGAGUUAGAGAAUAUCGGAUAUUGUGGCCAUCUUGUUAUGGAAAAAUAUUGAUUUUGGGUUUGCACAUUUUGCUUUAAUAAAAUAUCCAAUUUUUACUUUAUUUGGUUUAAGUUGCUAAAACUAUUUUUUUAAUUAGGCUUUGUGUCCCACGAUUGCUUCAUGGUACACGGCUGGUCAUGCUCCCGAAUUUGGGGCGUGACAGCGUUGAACCCUAACCAAAUUGUUUUUCGCUGAGUAAAUUUGAACCGAUUUCAUGAAACCUUUAUUCUCGUUAUUGGAGGAAUUUCAUCUCUUUACUUGCUAAUCAUCAUCCCUUCAUUCUGUUCUUGAAAUUGCUGGAGAUUGUUGUCCUCUAAAUUGCAGAUCUUGAUCUCAGUGUCGAGUAAGUCUCAAACUCUACACCUGGGAGGUCAGAUUUCCAAUAUUUGAUACUACAUUUAUCUUACGAUUUUCUCUAUUAUUUAUUCUUAUACCUUAUACAGGGACGGUAUAACUAAUGCUAAAGUUCUCUCUCAUAUUGUUGAAAGUAAAAACAUUAAUGAACUUUUACAGGUGUGAGGAUGGCCGAAAAUAAUGUUUUAUUCCUGUUUCCAUGUUAUAGCUUAUUUGUUUAUAUAAAUAGUUAGUGAUAAUCUUUACUAUGUCUGAUUUCUAGUUCUUCUUAGAUGUCAUGCACCUAAAGCAGCCAAUUGUAUUAGUUUAUCAUCCCCUUAUCUUGAUUGUAGUCGUGCCUUGAAAUGUUAUGAGAUGCAAAGUAUGUGGCCUUGGUUAUAUGCGUACUUUUACAUUUUGAUGACCUUUGUAGUUCAUAAAAAUCGCAGGUCAAAGGACAAUUACUCUUGCAAAGAUUAGUAUUGAGGAGUGAGUUGAGGUUUACUUGAAAUCUAAUCUGCCUUGAGUGCCUUCAUAUUUAUCAAAUGAUACAAAGAUUAGUGGAAACUAAUAAUAUGAACUAUACUUACAAAUGGGUUGUUUUCUUUGGUUGAUUCAUUGCCAAAAUUUAGUUUGACUAGUACUUUGGGGACUACAUUUUGGGUACCAUGUAAUGUGUUAUCAAUAUAUUUGUAGAAUGUGCCCCAUUUGUCAUUUAUUGGAGCAUAUUCGACCAAUGCAAUGGGGACACAUCGCAUGGUAUCCAAAAUGUGAUACCUAAAUAUGGUCACCCUAGCGUUGCUCAUCAAGUUUUCCUAUGCUAGCAUGUGCUUUGGAUGCCAUACAUUGUUGUUUCAAGUCACACAAAUGCAAUAUGUUGUUUGUUGUUUUAAGUCACACAAAUGCAAUUUGUAGUUUGCCUAUUAUUGGUCUAAGAUUGGAAUGUUAAAAUUUGCUUUCUUAGUUACACACCUUUGUGAGAUUUUUUGUUUUGAACUUCUGUUUGACAGCUUGUAUGUAAGUAAUGAGCAGUUUUUUUAAGGUAUUUUUGUAUAUGUUUGAGUUGUGUAGAUGUCUUAUAGAUUAGAAAAACUAAGUUCUAUGUAGUUUACUUCUCUCUCUCUCUGUGUGUGUUACUUUUACUUACCAGACAUAU